rnacentral:rRNA from 1 species
CGGGUGAGUAACGCGUAAAGAACUUGCCUCAUAGUUUGGGACAACAUCUGGAAACGGAUGCUAAUACCGGAUAUUAUGCUUUCUUCGCAUGGAGGAAGUAUGAAAGCUAUAUGCGCUAUGAGAGAGCUUUGCGUCCCAUUAGCUAGUUGGUGAGGUAACGGCCCACCAAGGCGAUGAUGGGUAGCCGGCCUGAGAGGGUGAACGGCCACAAGGGGACUGAGACACGGCCCUUACUCCUACGGGAGGCAGCAGCG